rnacentral:rRNA from 1 species
AUACGGAGGGGGCAAGCGUUGUUCGGAAUUAUUGGGCGUAAAGGGCACGUAGGCGGUCAAGUAAGUUGGUGGUGAAAGCCCUCGGCUCAACCGAGGAAUUGCCCCCAAAACUGCUUGACUUGAGUCCCGGAGAGGGUGGCGGAAUUCCCAGUGUAGCGGUGAAAUGCGUAGAUAUUGGGAGGAACACCAGUGGCGAAGGCGGUCACCUGGACGGGUACUGACGCUGAGGUGCGAAAGCGUGGGGAGCAAACAGGAUUAGAAACCCGAGUAGUCC